rfam:Eutrema salsugineum unplaced genomic scaffold scaffold_15, whole genome shotgun sequence.
AAGCCAUGAUGUGGACACUUAUUUGUGUAGCUUCUAAACCUGUCCAAAGCUUCUCCAAAGGUCUCAUUAGAAUGUUGAGUGAAGCUGGAAAAUCUGGUUCCUUAGCUU